rnacentral:misc_RNA from 1 species
UCAUCAGCUGUUCCGAGGGAUCGAUAGAUGUCGGUGGGUGUCGCUUUAUUUUCGACAUCACACAAUAUACAUAUAACUAUAUCAUAACGGUAUCCGUAGUAAAAUCACUUCGGUACCCAAUGCGCUAGUUUCUUUCAUGGUCCGCGGUCUUUUUGAUGUCAUCGGUCGUAAACCCGGGUCGAUGAACGAAUUCGGUUUAAAGAUGACGAGAAAAUUAUGCAAUGCGAAUUAUACUGACGCAUCUUUAUUUAUUUAUGGUGGUCGGAAACAAAUUUCGGCCCAAAAUGCUUAAAAUUCCGUAAAGGGAAGGAUUGUGCUGUUGUGUUUGUUUUCGGUGUUUCGGUGGUAACGAUGGCUAAUUCUCCGACGAGCAUUGAGACGCAAAUAGACAGUUUCUUGGAGCAAUUUAAGAGAAGUGCCUCUAAAGCUAUGGAGGAGCGAAUAGAGUGGCCUGAUGGUCCAUCUCCUGGUGCGGUGGUGAAGUCUCGCAGCAGCUGCUUCGCGCUGGACUCCGCAGUUGACGCGGGCUGUGAUGACUGCGGCGAGGAUGAAGGGCGGCUGGUCUCCGAGCUGCUGCUGCCGCAGUACGCGCUGGCCACGGGCGGGCUGGCGCGCGACCACCGCCCGCUCAUCACCUUCCCCGACAACAACAACUUCCAUCUGUUGACGGCGCCAGAGUACCGCAGGCUGCUGCUGUACCUCACCUCUGUGCCCUCAUUAUUAGAAGCAGACAUGGGGUUCCACAUAAUCAUAGACCGAAGAAAAGACAGAUGGAAUUCAGUCAAAACAGUAUUAAUAAGGAUCUCAGAAUUUUUCCCUGGCAUCAUCCACACAGUAUAUGUGCUCCGACCAGCCAGUUUCCUCCAGAAAGCGCUCUCGGAAGUGAGCAGCAAGCUGUUCAAAGAAGAGUUCCGGUUCCGAGUGCUAGUGUGUUCUUCGGUUGAAGAGUUGUAUGAGCACUUCGACCGGUCGCAGCUCACGCCGGACCUUGGGGGAGAGCUGCAGUAUUCUCAUGCGGAGUGGAUACAACAGAGAAUAGCCCUAGAAAUGUUCUCAACACUAAUGAAAGAGAUCUCAAGCAAGCUGGACGACUUUAUGCACGAAAUAGUGGAUUGCGACAUGGGGAACGAUCCGACACAAACCAAAGAAUUAUUAGACUGCCAGGAAACUAGGUAUAAAGAGUUGAAGACGGAACUGGCGGCAGCGACCACGCAAGGCGAGGAGCUGCUGACGCAGAUGAGGAAACCAAAUCUAACGUUUAUUAGUAAUAUUAUAAGUCAUGUGGCCGCUGUUGAGAGGUUACUAGUACAACUAGAAGAGACUGAAAAACAAUUCGACAAUUUUUGGCAAAAACAUUCCACAAAAUUAAACCACUGGCUACAAUUUAGGACAUUUUUAUUAAAUUUUAAACAAAUGCAGGCUACUUUAGACAAUCACCUGAAGGCAGCAUGUGAUAUGACCGAGGUUGGAGAAACGGCGAGUAGAGUGGAAAGUUUAAUUCAAGAGGCUAUUGAUUUCGAGAAACUUUGCAACUGUGAUCUAGAUACCGCUGCAUCCGUUAUAGACGAUGGAGAGAAGCUGAUGCAGGAUCCCCUUAGUUCAGUAGACCACAUAGAGUCCAAGUGUGAGGAGCUACGACGCACCAGCGCGCUGCUCGCCGACAAGAUACAGAAACGGACGCAACUUUUAAAUAAGGCCAGGGAACUUAUGGAUAGGAUAGACAAGGCCAACGACUGGUGCGCGUCCGGCGUCGAGAUUCUGGCCGGCGAGGGCGGCCUCAUUGCCGUGGACAAACUGUUAGAAGACGCGCAGGGUUUCGGACUAAGUGCACCCGACCUCUUCCGCGAGGCUUUACUACAGUCCGCUACGCAGGAGACCAAAGCGCUAGUCGCACAGGUGGCCCAAAGAGUAGAAGAUGUCUGGCUCAUGGCUACAGUGAAGCGAGCGACCCUCCAGCGUGCGGCGGCUAAGCCCGCGCGACCCGUGCAGUCUGUGCCACCGACCACUGUGCCAGCUGUCAACACACAGAUGGAGACAUCAGGCGGUUCGGAAAGCUCGAGCGGCGAAGACGCGGAGGCGCGGCGGUCGCGGCGCGGGCACGUCCUUGCAGAACUCCUGCAGACGGAGCGGGUCUACGUGCAGGAGCUUGGCUCCAUACUCACUGGUUACAAAGAGGAGAUCGAAAAGCCCGAGAACCAGCACCUCCUGCCGGCGACGCUGGUGGGCCAGGCCGAUGUGCUCUUCGGAAACCUGCACGAGCUCUUCACAUUCCACCAAGACGUGUUCCUUAAGGACCUGGAGCGGUCCAUAUCGGCUACCGAACUCGUUGCCCUCUGUUUUGUUGAGAAGCGCGAGACAUUCUUCCGACUCUACAGCUACUACUGCCAGAAUAUCCCCCGGUCAGAAAGACUGCGGGAGACUCUAGUUGACACCCACCUCUUCCUUCAAGCGUGCCAGCUGCGGUUAGGACACAAGCUCCCCUUGGCCGCGUACCUACUCAAGCCAGUGCAGAGGAUCACCAAAUAUCAGCUGUUAUUAAAGGACCUCCUGCGGUACAGCGAAUGUGGCUCCAUGAGCUCGAACCUCCAGCAGGCGUUGGACUGUAUGCUGGUCGUCGUCAAAUGCGUCAACGAUUCUAUGCAUCAGAUAGCCAUCACCGGCGUACCGGUGGACCUAGCACAACAAGGCGAGCUCCUCAUGCAAGGCUCGUUCCUCGUCGCGUCGGAAAGCAAACGGGACCUGCGGCUCAGAAUACGGCCGCGGCGCCGGCAUAUCUUCCUCUACGAAAAAGCCAUGCUUUUCUGCAAGCCAGCCACUAAGAACAGCCACAAUAAGGCUACUUACCACUUUAAGAAUGAUCUCCAGAUGUCACAAAUCGGGCUCACAGAGUCCGUGAAAGGCGACCUCCGCAAGUUCGAAGUGUGGCGGGAGCACCGGCUAGAAGUGCACACGAUCACAGCGCCCUCUGUGGAGGUGAAGCGCGCGUGGGUCGAGCGCAUCAAGCGGGUGCUGCUCGACCAGCUAAAGGAGCUCAAGGGGGAGCGCGUCAGGAAAUACGGCAUGCAGCAUAGGACACUAAUCCAAGCGAGCUCCUGGGACCUGGUCCCGCCGGGGCCGCCAGCCAAGCCGGCCGCGCCCGCCGCCGCGCCGCGCACGGCGUCCUGCGACUCGCACGACGAGCCGUGCUGGUCCACCGACCCCUCCGACGACGAGGACGACGAACCCGACCAGGCGCCGGUGACGGAGGCCGUCGGUCUCAACGGUACCAUACACAGAGUGGUACAAUUCUUUUCUGUAUCGGGGUCUACACAGGCCAACUCCACGUUUUACGUGUCCCAGUACUGAUAGUUCCUCUACAGAGCUAAAAGCCUGUACAGGUUGUAAAUAAAGAGACUGAAUUAUCCAAAGUUAAAGUACAUAACCAAAGAGUUCGACAACGAACGUGGAUAUAUCAGUUGUUAUUGCAGAACAUUAACUGUCGUGCGGUGGGGUGCGCGCUGGUGGCGUUGUCGGAGUACACGGCGGUGGGCGCGAGCGAGGUCUCCCUGCGCGAAGGCCAGCAGGCCGAACUGCUGAAAGUCGGCUGCGCGGGCUGGUGGUACGUGCGGCUGGCGG